UACGAAGGGGGCUAGCGUUGCUCGGAAUCACUGGGCGUAAAGGGUGCGUAGGCGGGUCUUUAAGUCAGGGGUGAAAUCCUGGAGCUCAACUCCAGAACUGCCUUUGAUACUGAAGAUCUUGAGUUCGGGAGAGGUGAGUGGAACUGCGAGUGUAGAGGUGAAAUUCGUAGAUAUUCGCAAGAACACCAGUGGCGAAGGCGGCUCGCUGGGCCGGACCUGACGCUGAGACGCGAAGGCGUGGGGAGCGAACGGG
rnacentral:rRNA from 1 species